CGUAGGUAAUCUGCCCUUUAGGGGAGAACAACUCAUCGAAAGGUGAGCUAAAUCUCCGUAAUGUUUUACUAUGGCAUCAUAGUUCAACCAAGUUUUCUAAGGGAUGAGCCUGCGUCUGAUUAGCUAGUUGGUGAGGUAACGGCUCACCAAGGCUACGAUCAGUAGCUGGUCUGAGAGGAUGAUCAGCCACAUUGGGACUGAGACACGGCCCAG
rnacentral:rRNA from 1 species